ACCCUGUAGAUCCGAAUUUGUCAGGGUAUCUGACAACAAAUUCGGUUCUAGAGAGGUUU
rnacentral:pre_miRNA from 1 species